rnacentral:lncRNA from 1 species
AGGGUACCAGACUCAAUAUAUGUAUCAAAGCAGUAUACAAUCCAAGAAAACAUAUUUUUCAAGAAAGGUAAGUAUUCAUUGUAAUUGAUAAAUGAAAUACACUUGAUAAAUAAAAAAAGAUACAGUUGGUAUCAAUUGGUAUCAGUCAGUAUACAAGUGUGCCAAAUAGACAUGAAACAUAGUUCAGUACAAAGUUAUGUUUUGAAAACAUGGGUUUCAGUCUAAGUUCAGGUUAGGUUCAGUCUAGGUUUAGUCUAGGUUUAGGAUUUUGAAGAUGAAGGUCCAGAC